UGAAUUCGGGUGUAUAAAAUGGAUGCCAUA
rnacentral:piRNA from 1 species